AAAAGAUUGAGGUUGAAAAAAAUCAAAAGAGAAAAUUUCUUUGGAAAAAAUGCUGAGUAUUUUACUUCUCCUUGGAUGAAGAUCUAAGGAGAUUCUGAAGGCUUUUAAUUUGAGCAAUGAUAUCAUCAUAUUCUGGGAUUUUCAUCUUUGAUCAUUUUGGGCAGCAAUUGUGACGAAUAGAUUGAAUAAGGAAGAAACUAGAAAUAGGAAAACCAAUGAAGAGGCAAAGGAGUAUUAUUCAGUGCUAAAAAGAAAUAAGCUAUAAAGCCAUGAAAAAGAGGGAACUGAAACUCAUAUUACUAAACAGAAGAAGCCAAUUUUAAAAGGCUAUAUACUGUAUGAUUCCAACCAUAUGACAUCCUGGAAAAGGUAAAACUAUGGCAACAGUAAAAAGGUGAUGAAACCUACCAUAUCAUAGCGUGAGGAGCCAGGGGCACAGUUGGAAUGCGUUUCCAUUCAAGAACAAUGGUGGAUUCCAUCCUGGUGGGACCACAGCAUGCCCUACAGAGGGGCAUCCUUGGCUCCAGCCCUUGUAGAGUCAAUAUGGCCUCCCCAGGUCUCUUGGAUAAAGUUACAUAAAGCUUCAUUCUUAGUGUUUCUCUCAUUUCUUUAGUUUUCAAACAUGAAUAGGGCCAGAGUCACAGCAUGACUGCCUCUUUAGUUACAAACGUCCCCUUCCUGUUGAGGAGACUGCUUAGUGGUGCAGGCUGGAGAUCACACCCAGGUCUACACUAACUCAGCAACUCAAAAGCCAAGCAGAAGGAAUCACAGGCCAACCUCUCCUCACUCCAUGUAAAUCUGCUUCGGCUCAGCUGGGUGUCCGGUGGACUGAGUCAUGUAAUUACCCCAUGGGAAACAGCCCCACGAAGAUGGUACUGCAUUUAAAUACCAUGAACAGAUCCUGUAAGCUCCAUUAUUUAUUUUAAUAAAACA